rnacentral:tRNA from 1 species
AGGACUGUAGUUAAAUUAACAUUUGAUUUGCAUUCAAAAAAUAUUAAUUAUCUAAAUUAAUCUGUCUU